UACGUAGGUGGCAAGCGUUGUCCGGAUUUACUGGGUGUAAAGGGCGCGUAGGCGGGUAUGUAAGUCAGAUGUGAAAUUUAUGGGCUUAACCCAUAAACUGCAUUUGAAACUGCGUAUCUUGAGUGAUGGAGAGGUAAGUGGAAUUCCUAGUGUAGCGGUGGAAUGCGUAGAUAUUAGGAGGAACACCAGUGGCGAAGGCGACUUACUGGACAUUAACUGACGCUGAUGCGCGAAAGCGUGGGGAGCAAACAGG
rnacentral:rRNA from 1 species